GAUGAACGCUGGCGGCGUGCCUAAUACAUGCAAGUCGAGCGAACAGACGAGGAGCUUGCUCCUCUGACGUUAGCGGCGGACGGGUGAGUAACACGUGGAUAACCUACCUAUAAGACUGGGAUAACUUCGGGAAACCGGAGCUAAUACCGGAUAAUAUAUUGAACCGCAUGGUUCAAUAGUGAAAGACGGUUUUGCUGUCACUUAUAGAUGGAUCCGCGCCGCAUUAGCUAGUUGGUAAGGUAACGGCUUACCAAGGCAACGAUGCGUAGCCGACCGGAGAGGGUGAUCGGCCACCCUGGAACGAGGACACGGUCCAGACUCCUACGGGAGGGAGCAGUAGGGAAUCUUCCGCAAUGGGCGAAAGCCUUACGGAGCAACGCCGAGUGAGUGAGUAAGGGCUUCGGAUCGUAAAACUCUGUUAUUAGGGAAGAACAAAUGUGUAAGUAACUAUGCACGUCUUGACGGUACCUAGUCAGAAAGCCACGGCUAACUACGUG
rnacentral:rRNA from 1 species